CGAUUUCCGAAUGGGGAAACCCAAUAUCCAAUGGAUAUUAUCAUUAACUGAAUACAUAGGUUAAUGAAGCGAACCGGGAGAACUGAAACAUCUCAGUACCCCGAGGAAAAGAAAUCAACCGAGAUUCCCCUAGUAGCGGCGAGCGAACGGGGAACAGCCCAGAGUCUUAAUCAAUAGCAGCAUCAGGAGAACGGUCUGGAAAGUCCGGCAGUAAAGGGUGAUAGCCCCGUAUCCGAAGAUGCUGUUAUUGUGAACUCGACGAGUAGGGCGGGACACGUGUUAUCCUGUCUGAAUAUGGGGGGACCAUCCUCCAAGGCUAAAUACUCCUGAUUGACCGAUAGUGAACCAGUACCGUGAGGGAAAGGCGAAAAGAACCCCGGCGAGGGGAGUGAAAAAGAACCUGAAACCGUGUACGUACAAGCAGUAGGAGCCUCUUUAUGGGGUGACUGCGUACCUUUUGUAUAAUGGGUCAGCGACUUAUAUUCUGUAGCAAGGUUAACCGUAUAGGGGAGCCGUAGGGAAACCGAGUCUUAACUGGGCGAAUGAGUUGCAGGGUAUAGACCCGAAACCCGGUGAUCUAUCCAUGGGCAGGUUGAAGGUUGGGUAACACUAACUGGAGGACCGAACCGACUAAUGUUGAAAAAUUAGCGGAUGACUUGUGGAUGGGGGUGAAAGGCCAAUCAAACCGGGAGAUAGCUGGUUCUCCCCGAAAGCUAUUUAGGUAGCGCCUCGUGAACUCAUCUUCGGGGGUAGAGCACUGUUUCGACUAGGGGGUCAUCCCGACUUACCAACUCGAUGCAAACUGCGAAUACCGAAGAAUGUUAUCACGGGAGACACACGGCGGGUGCUAACGUCCGUCGUGAAGAGGGAAACAACCCAGACCGCCAGCUAAGGUCCCAAAGUCAUGGUUAAGUGGGAAACGAAGUGGGAAGGCUCAGACAGCCAGGAUGUUGGCUUAGAAGCAGCCAUCAUUUAAAGAAAGCGUAAUAGCUCACUGGUCGAGUCGGCCCGCGCGGAAGAUGUAACGGGGCUAAACCAUGCACCGAAGCUGCGG
rnacentral:rRNA from 1 species